rnacentral:rRNA from 1 species
UUGACCUCGGAUCAGGUAGGACUACCCGCUGAACUUAAGCAUAUCAAUAAGCGGAGGAAAAGAAACCAACAGGGAUUGCCCCAGUAACGGCGAGUGAAGCGGCAACAGCUCAAAUUUGAAAUCUGGCCCUCGGGUCCGAGUUGUAAUUUGUAGAGGAUGCUUUUGGUGCGGUGCCUUCCGAGUUCCCUGGAACGGGACGCCAUAGAGGGUGAGAGCCCCGUCUGGUUGGACGCCAAUCCUCUGUAAAGC